GGGGUGAGACCCCUGCCCAGCCACCUACCAUCAGGGUGACCCCGGAGCCGCCCAGGGAUCGAGCCAGCAGCCGGGACACGAACUCACGUUCCGGCUGCGGAUGUGGAUGGUCAGAAGAGCGUGGCUGCGGCUCGAGUGCCUGUUGAGGGCAUGUGCUGAGGUCCUUCUCCUCUGGGAUCCUACCGAGGGGGGAUUGAGAGCUGCUACCCAGCCCCUGCGCAACAGGACCCUGCCUGGGCUUUGCAGCCCCUCUUGGCUGCCACCUGAGCCCCACCACCCCUGGAGAUGGUCUGCAGGGGCUGAGCCUCCCCAUACCAGGUAGGAGGCACUGAGAGCCAGGUCAGAGCCACGGCUCCGGCUCUGCUCCAGGAGGCAGGCGAAGGACCUCUGCAUCAGCCCCAGCAGGGCCGGGGAUGCUGCGUGGGUCUCACCCUAUGGAGAUGCCAGAAUGGAGCUCCACCAACUGCCUCAUCCCACUGCCUUCGAACACAGCCUCCUGCGAGUCGCCGGCGUCAAACACGGCGCUGAACCCGAACGUGGCGUCUUGCCGGGCUGCGCUCACCUGGGCACGGGGACAGCGGGGG